rnacentral:rRNA from 1 species
UACGUAGGGGGCAAGCGUUGUCCGGAUUUAUUGGGCGUAAAGAGCGUGUAGGCGGCCAGGUAGGUCCGUUGUGAAAACUCGAGGCUCAACCUCGAGACGUCGGCGGAAACCCUCUGGCUAGAGUCCGGAAGAGGAGAGUGGAAUUCCUGGUGUAGCGGUGAAAUGCGUAGAUAUCAGGAGGAACACCGGUGGUGUAGACGGCUUUCUGGACCGUAACUGACGCUGAGACACGAAAAGCGUGGGGGAGCGAACAGG